GACGAACGCUGGCGGCGUGCUUAACACAUGCAAGUCGAACGGAAAGGCCCUGCUUUUGUGGGGUGCUCGAGUGGCGAACGGGUGAGUAACACGUGAGUAACCUGCCCUUGACUUUGGGAUAACUUCAGGAAACUGGGGCUAAUACCGGAUAGGAGCUCCUGCUGCAUGGUGGGGGUUGGAAAGUUUCGGCGGUUGGGGAUGGACUCGCGGCUUAUCAGCUUGUUGGUGGGGUAGUGGCUUACCAAGGCUUUGACGGGUAGCCGGCCUGAGAGGGUGACCGGCCACAUUGGGACUGAGAUACGGCCCAGAAUCCUACGGGAGGCAGCAGGGGGGAAUAUUGCACAAUGGGCGGAAGCCUGAUGCAGAAACGCCGCGUGCGGGAUGACGGCCUUCGGGCUGUAAACCGCUUUCGCCUGUGACGAAGCGUGAGUGACGGUAAUGGGUAAAGAAGCACCGGCUAACUACGUG
rnacentral:rRNA from 1 species